rnacentral:rRNA from 1 species
AGAGAGAGACAUGCGCGCAUAUCAAUAAGCGGAGGAAAAGAAACUAACUAGGAUUCCCUCAGUAACGGCGAGUGAAGCGGGAAGAGCUCAAAUUUGAAAUCUUCAAGGUUCUACCUUGACGAAUUGUAGUUUAAAGAAGUGUUUUCUGUUGGAGUUUUGGUAAAAGUUCUUUGGAAUAGGACAUCAUAGAGGGUGAGAAUCCCGUAUUUGACCAUUAUUUCCAGCUUUGUGAUACACUUUCAAAGAGUCGGAUUGUUUGGGAAUGCAGUCCAAAAUGGGUGGUAAAUUUCAUCUAAAGCUAAAUAUUGGCGAGAGACCGAUAGCGAACAAGUACCGUGAGGGAAAGAUGAAAAGAACUUUGAAAAGAGAGUUAAACAGUACGUGAAAUUGUCAAAAGGGAAGCGUUUGACACCAGUGUUGUUUUCUCGAAAAUCAAUUAAAAGAACGGAUUUUGCUAGUUGUAUUAGACUUUAUCAGCUAACUGUUUAGUUUUGAUCUUUCUUUAAUGCACUUUUCAGUUAACAAGUCAACAUCAAUUUCUUUUGCUGUAAAAAGGCGGUCAUGGAAGGUGGCUUUAUAUUCGGCUUAAGUGUUUAUAGCCUCUUGGCCUAUGCAAUCGGAGAGAUUGAGGUCUGCAGCGUAGAUCCUUCGGGGCUAGAUACAUUUGUGCUAAGUUAUAGCCUUUCAUAGACAACUUGUUGACUAUGAUCAGUCAUGUAGCUUACUCGCUUAUGCUAUUUUACCUACGCUUAGGAUGUUGAUGUGAUACUGCGAGCA